GGGCAGCACGGGGGCGGCCGCGCCCCGGGCCCGGCCCGGCUUUGUACGCCGGAAGCAGGCGGGAAAGAGCUGACGAGGGCCAGCGGGGGCGGGGACCCGGGAUCAGAACCAAAGCUCGCCUUGCGCCGCCGGAAGGAAUCUGGGCCAGGUCGCCGACCUCGGGCCUCGGCUUCCUCAUCAGUAAAAGGAAUGGGUCAAACUUCAUGUGCCAAGGUUAUCCUUGGAAACAAUUUACAGUAGGAAGACAAUGGGGACGGGGAAGAAUGAAAGGAACGCGUACUUAAAGGGAGCGAUAGGUUACCGGCACCUCCCAGGUAACAUACGGCAAAAAGGGUCACCAGGAGCACAAAAGGCAGGCGGGUUCCGCGCGGGACCGUGGGUGCCCUUGGCUUUCAGACCGUUAGCCCCCCCUUGCCACCCCUGCGGGGCUCUUCCCACGAAGGAGCGCCCUCACUAGCGCUGCCGUGUGGGCGGAGCUGGCGCCACGGAAGCGGCCCUAGGACGGUCACCGGCAGCGGGCUCUACCUUGCGCCGCCCUUCCUCGGUCCCGCCGUCCGAGAUGCUCGGCACCUAACGCACAGCGAGGGCCAUGGAGCAAACCUUGGUUAACCAAGCUUUGAGAUUUGCAAAGGACUUGCGAGCAUCUCGUUUGAUCCCCGAAAGAACCUCGGGAAAUAGCUGCUGUCAUUAUGCCCAUUUCACAGUUGAGGGGCCCGAGGCGCAGGAGUUAAGUGAUUUGUCCGGGGUCACACAGCUAGUGUCUGAAGUCCCGUCCCCCCCCUCCGAUCCACUGCACCUCCCAGCUGAUGACAAGGUUACCUUGUGAUUUCUACCGGCGCAGGGGCAUCUGGGUUCUCAGGGAAUAUUUAAAUGUUUCCUUCACAAGCUCAUUGUACAAUAUUUCAGAGUCCGAUUCUCUUUGCACAUCAAAAUAACGUUUUGGUCAGGUAUACUUAUUGUGUAUCUAAGUUAUAUUUUAAUGUAUUUAACAUCUACUGGUCAUCCUGUCAUCUAGGGGAGGGGGUGGGGGG
rnacentral:lncRNA from 1 species